rnacentral:rRNA from 1 species
GAUGAACGCUGGCGGCGUGCCUAAUACAUGCAAGUCGAGCGAACAGACGAGGAGCUUGCUCCUCUGACGUUAGCGGCGGACGGGUGAGUAACACGUGGAUAACCUACCUAUAAGACUGGGAUAACUUCGGGAAACCGGAGCUAAUACCGGAUAAUAUAUUGAACCGCAUGGUUCAAUAGUGAAAGACGGUUUUGCUGUCACUUAUAGAUGGAUCCGCGCCGCAUUAGCUAGUUGGUAAGGUAACGGCUUACCAAGGCAACGAUGCGUAGCCGACCUGAGAGGGUGAUCGGCCAAACUGGAACUGAGACACGGUCCAGACUCCUACGGGAGGCAGCAGUAGGGAAUCUUCGCAAUGGGCGAAAGCCUGACGGAGCAACGCCGCGUGAGUGAUGAAGGUCUUCGGAUCGUAAAACUCUGUUAUUAGGGAAGAACAAAUGUGUAAGUAACUAUGCACGUCUUGACGGUACCUAAUCAGAAAGCCACGGCUAACUACGUG